rnacentral:rRNA from 1 species
GAUGAACGCUGGCGGCGUGCCUAAUACAUGCAAGUCGAGUGAACAGAUGAGGAGCUUGCUCCUCUGACGUUAGCGGCGGACGGGUGAGUAACACGUGGAUAACCUACCUAUAAGACUGGGAUAACUUCGGGAAACCGGAGCUAAUACCGGAUAAUAUAUUGAACCGCAUGGUUCAAUAGUGAAAGACGGUUUUGCUGUCACUUAUAGAUGGAUCCGCGCCGCAUUAGCUAGUUGGUAAGGUAACGGCUUACCAAGGCAACGUUGAGUAGCCGACCUGAGAGGGGGAUCGGCCACACUGGACCUGAGAAACGGCCCAGACUCCUACGGGAGGCAGCAGUAGGGAAACUUCCGCAAUGGGCGAAAGCCUGACGGAGCAACGCCGCGUGGGUGAUGAAGGUCUUCGGAUCGUAAAACUCUGUUAUUAGGGAAGAACAAAUGUGUAAGUAACCAUGCACGUCUUGACGGUACCGAAUCAGAAAGCCACGGCUAACUACGU